rnacentral:lncRNA from 10 species
GCCUUGUGUAGGGCAGAGAAGGCCUGGCGUGGGCACCCCCCACCCCCAGCCUGGGUGAGGUGUUUUCGCCAGAAUUGCAGCAGCUGGGGCUGGAGGCCUCUUCCCAGGAAGAGCAGAGCGCCGCUUCCAAGAACUCAGAGGAGGCCGCAGGCGGGAGGGGGAGCGGGGGAGUUAAUUUUAAACCACACUGCCUUCAACGCUUCUCAGGAACUGGUUGCUCAACGUGAUCUGGCAGGUCCCAGGCGGCUGGGCAGGCCUGGUGCCAGCUCAGAAGUGGCGGGUGGAGGACACGCCCCAGGGGGAGGCCUGGUGACCUUGAGGGAAGUAGGGCCCUGUCCUUGACCACUUACCAGGGCCUGUCCCUCAUUCACCCGACCCAACUUUGCUGGGGGGUGUGAGGUGGGGUAAUUUAUUCAGUUCUAACCAGGAAAGGUAAAAUUAUAACAGGAUUAAUAACACAAGUGUCAUGGCCUUCCAAGGGCCCCAAGACGAUCCCAUCCCCCUUCCCUGCUCAGAACCUGCCUGUCCUGCACCCUGGCCUGUCCUCUGGAGGUUAUCUGAUGAGGGCCUAUUCUGAGGGAAGCCCUCCCUGACUGCAGGUGCCUCCUUAGACUCCUCCAUCCCGGUGCUGGAUCUGGCAUGACCUCUGAAGUGCCCGGUGUCCAGCCUGGCAGAGUGGACGACGAGAAACAGGUCAGGGGGCCCAGGCCCCAGCUUCAGCAUCAAGCCACCCAGGACAUGCAUCUGGCCUUUUGGAAAAUAGCCUGGAGAAUGCAGAGGAGAGGCUGCAGUGAGUGGGCACUGACAACUGUCUGGGACUGGGUUGAAGUCUGGCCACAUUUCAAGGGAAUGGCCAUGAGUGUUCCCAUCACAGGAUCCCAGGAGCAGCAUUGUUAGAGCAGGGGCCUGGAAGUAUGGCUGAGGGUGCUGAGUGAGCAGGUCAGGGUCACAUAGCUGGGAGGCACUAGGACAACCUUUUAACCACUCAUGACCCCUUUACCUUCAGAAUGGAGAACCUCCCCUGGCCAAGGCUGGACGGGGUGUCGGCAAGAACUUGCCUCUCUCCUCCCACCCUCAGGUCACUCCUUGGCCCUCACUGAGCACAGCGCCAAGCGUGCUACCCAUCCACCCCAAUGUCACAGAGAAGAUGGGGACAAUGCUGGCGUUAAGAAGGGCUAGGACCCAGUGGGUGGGUGGCAGCUGUGAGGUGGGGCUAUGGCAGAGAGGUCCUCCCUCCCCUGUAGGAGGGCAGUGGGGCAGCCCAAGGACACAGGUCAUUGCUGUGCUUGUACUCUGCAGUGGCCAGUUCUCAGAAGCUACCUGGGGCAGCUGGCAGUGGGUGGGAGUGCUGCAUUCUCUGUCACUUAGAGGCCUUGAUGCCUGCACCCAGGUCAGGCUGGCUGUGGCUGGAAAGAACCUGCUGUGGAUGAAGUUGACCUGGGACCCACGUGACCUGAGUGAAAAGAGCUAUGGGUUUGCAGGGGACACCGGUGCCCUGCUGCAGGUGGUUCUAGAGCUAGGUAUCCUGCAUCGUGACUUGAGCAAGUCAUGAACCCACUCUGAGCCUCAGUUUCCCACUCUGUUUUUGGUGUUUGGUUUGGUUUGGUUUUGAGACAGGGUCUCACCCUGUUGCCCAGGCUGGAGUCCAGUGGCACAAUCUCGGCUCACUGCAGCCUCUACCUCCUGAGCUCAAGCGAUCCUCCCACCUCAGUCUCCCAAGUAGCUGAGACUACAGGUGUGUGCCACCACACCCCACUAAUUUUUUGUACAGAUCUAGUUUCACCAUGUUGCCCAGGCUGGUCUGAACUCCUGGGCUCAAGCAAUUCUCCUCCCUCGGCCUCCCAAAGCACUGGGAUUACAGGCGUGAGCCACUGCACCGGGCCUCCACCUCUACUUUGGGGACAAUGUUAUCACUUGCCUUAUGGAAUCGUUGUAAGGAGGAAAUGUGUAGACUUGGUGAUUUUUGUUUCUCCUCGGAGUCUUCCCCUGGAUCCCAACUCACCCCUCCAGCUCCCACUUCACCAUGAGCCCAUGGAGACAUGAGCCCCAGAAGAGCUCUUUCUCUGGUCUCUAUUGCAGCAAGAAGUACCUGUGGGCACACUGGAGCAUAGGCCUUGAUGUUUGCAGUGCUCCAGGCAAAAGGACAAGUGGAGGCUCACAUACCAGAAUCUAAAUAUUAAACAACCAUAAAUCAAGCUGCUAAUGAAAUGUGUUCUAUCCUCCUACUGAACAAAUAAGCUUUCAUAGGAGUAAAAACAUCUGUAAAUCUACAGUUUUUAUAUAUCUGAAAGUCAGCAGAUAUCCAAAAUGAUGAAACUUAGUAAUUAUCACUCAUGUCCAGGUGUUCAGUGACCUGAGGUUUAAGUGAGAGAAUGAAGACUUGCCUGAUGCCUAAGAUAUUCUGUAUUUAUUCUGUAACAUUGAUUCUCCUCGUCUUUAGUCUAGUAAAAUGAUUGAUUAUGUUGUUACAGUCAAGACUUCUACACUAUUACUGUUCUUUUCAUAGUAAUGAUUAAAAAGAUUAAAAUAAGGCUGGGCAUGGUGGCUCACACAUGUAAUCCCAGAGCUUUGAGAAACCAAAGUGACAGGAUUGCUUGAGGCAGGAGUUCAAGUUUACAGUAAGCUAUGACUAUACUACUGUACUCCAGACUGGGCAACAGAGCAAGACCCUGUCUAUAAAAAAAAUAAUAAUUUUUAAAAAGACUAAAAUAAAAUAUUGGCCAGGUGUGGUGGCUCACACCUGU